GUUUGAAAAAGGCAAAGCGCGACGAAAGCGCGUGACGCAAAGCCUCCGGUCUUCAUCCUUUGAUAUGAUAGCGGGGCUACCGAA
rfam:Aestuariibacter aggregatus strain CGMCC 1.8995 genome assembly, contig: Ga0079874_104